rnacentral:rRNA from 1 species
CAGUUGGAGUAAGCCUCCUAGGCAAGCUCCACCACGGGCACAUGAUCGUGCUAGAAAACCUGGGAAAAAGGAAAGGCUCGCCUGUAGUGUGGGGUGACUACAGGCGCCGCACGGGCUAAUUGGUGCCGCUAGCGUCUGGAAAAAUGUCAGCCCAUGACACUACGCUCUGCAUACAUUAGCAUGGGAUAACAUUACAGGAUUUCGGUCCUAUUAUGUUGGCCUUCGGGAUCGGAGUAAUGAUUAACAGGGACCGUCGGGGGCAUUCGUAUUUCAUAGUCAGAGGUGAAAUUCUUGUAUUUAUGAAAGAAGAACAACUGCGAAAGCAUUUUCCAAGGAUGUUUUCAUUAAUCAAGAUGAAAGUUGGGCGCUCAAAGACGAUCAGAUACCGUCCUAGUCUCAACCAUAAACGAUGCCGACCAGGGAUCUACGGAUGUUGCUUUUAAGGCUCCGCCGACACCUUAUAAGAAAUCAAAGUUUUGGGU